GCCAACGUAGCUCAAUGGCAGAGCGCCAGGUUCAUAGCCUGGAGGGUUGGAGGUUCGAAUCCUUCCGUUGGCU
rnacentral:tRNA from 2 species